CGGAGAUGGAGAUGAUGAUUGCUGUUCUCGGCCAGAAUCCUGCCGGCCACCGCGAGACAUUGCGUCAAAACAAGCAGAGAAACAGCAAAGGAAAAACCGAAGAAAGCAACCGAUAAUUCUGAGAGAGAAAAAUAAGGUAAUCAGCGAGCAGAGGGUGUCCGAAUGUGCAUGAGAGAGAGAGGGCGUACAGGGGCAAGAGAAGACAGGUAAAGU
rnacentral:misc_RNA from 1 species